CCUCUUUGCCCUAAAACAUGAAGAGUUUUCGUGAAAAGAUAAAGUGAGCGGAUACGAGCAAUUUUUGCCCGUUCGAAUACUCUGUGGGAAGCAUUUUGAAAGACUUGACCGCACCCUGCUUCCGAGGUUGCCUACAUAUCCUUGGCUAAAAAAGAAUCAGGUCAGUGUAGUUCAGGAAUGUUUGGUAGCUGUGACUACCAUGAAGCUGUGACUUCACUGUUGUUGUUGUUGCUGCUACUGCUUACUGAACCCCUUAUUACACCAAAAAUAAAAAGAAGCUAGACUAGACUAUAAUCUAUGCAUUUACAAAUCCUAUCUACAUCUUCAAACUUGCUCUUGUGGUUCUUGUUGACUUGUUGACUUGUAUUCUCCCGGUGGAACCCCUUGUUGUCGCCUUGAAUUGUAAUCCGAGAUGUUUUCCCUUUCUCCAGGUGGACCCCGCUUGCUGAGACUUGAAUGUAUUCCCUUGUUCUCCAGGUGGGCUCCGGAUUGCUAAACUUGAAAAAUGUAUUCCCGUGUUCUCCAGGUGGGCGCCUGAUUACUGAACUUGAAAAAUGUAUUCCCUUGUUCUCUAGGUGGGCGCCUGAUUGCUGAACUUGAAAAAUGUAUUCUCUUGUUCUCCAGGUAGGCGCCUGAUUGCUGAACUUGAAAAAUCUAUUCCCUUGUUCUCCAGGUGGGCGCCUGAUUACUGAAACUUAAAAAAUUUAUUCUCUUGUUCUCCAGGUGGGCGCCUAAUUGCUGAACUUGAACCGUCUUCUCUUGUUACUUGACACUGUUUUCCUUUGCACCUUGAACCAUUUUCCCUUGAAACUUGAACUGUCUUCCUUCGAAACUGCUUUCCCUUGAAACUUGAGUUGUCUUCCCUUGUUCUCCAGGUGGGCACCUGAUUACAACAAAACAGACAAAACAAAAGAAAUUUUUUUCUGCCCCAGUUUGCACUAGGAAGAUUUGUGAGUUGUUAGCAAAAUGUAAACCACUCGUACUAUUGAUGCAAUGAUGAGAGUAAACUAAAAAAUAGACUAGGAAAACUAUAAAUCAAGCUUGACUAAAGUAAAAACUGACCCUAUUCUCCAGGCGAGGCCCCCUGAUUUCAAGAAAACUAAACAUUGAUAAUCUUAAGAAAACUAAAAAUUGACCCUUUUUUUUUCAAAUCCAGAUUUCCUUUUUUUCAAAUUAUCCUAGGAGAAAAUUCGUCAGACUAGGUUUUCUAUCUUAGGAGAAAGAUUCAUCAAACUAAGACGUUUAUCCUAGGAGAAAAUUCAUCAGACUAGGACAUCUAUCCUAGGAGAAAGUUCAUCAGACUAGGUCUUUUAUCUUAGGAGAAAGAUUCAUCAGACUAAGAUUUUAAUCCUAGGAGAAAGUUCAUCAAACUAAGAUUUUGAUCCUAGGAGAAAGUUCAUCAGACUAGGUCUUCUAUCUUAGGAGAAAAAUUCAUUAGACUAAGAUUUUGAUCCUAGGAGAAAAUUCAUAGACUAGGUUUUCUUAUCUUAGGAGAAAAAUUCAUCAGACUAAGAUUUUUAUUGGGAGAAAAAUCCAUCAGACUAGGUCUUCUAUCUUAGGAGAAAAUUCAUCAGACUAAGACGUUUAUCCUAGGAGAAAGUUCAUCAGACUAGGUCCUCUAUCUUAGGAGAAAAAUUCAUUAGACUAAGAUCGUGAUCCUAGGAGAAAGUUCAUCAGACUAGGUUCCCUUUUUUGUUAUCUUAGGAGAAAGAUUCAUCAGACUAAGAUUUAUAUCCUAGGAGAAAAUUCAUCAGACUAGGUUUUCUAUCUUAGGAGAAAAAUUCAUUAGACUAAGAUUUAUAUUGGGAAGAAAAUCCAU
rnacentral:lncRNA from 1 species